rnacentral:rRNA from 1 species
UACGUAGGGCGCAAGCGUUGUCCGGAAUUAUUGGGCGUAAAGAGCUCGUAGGCGGUUUGUCGCGUCUGCUGUGAAAACUCGAGGCUCAACCUCGGGCUUGCAGUCGAUACGGGCAGGCUAGAGUUCGGUAGGGGAGACUGGAAUUCCUGGUGUAGCGGUGAAAUGCGCAGAUAUCAGGAGGAACACCGGUGGCGAAGGCGGGUCUCUGGGCCGAUACUGACGCUGAGGAGCGAAAGCGUGGGGAGCGAACAGG